AUGGUUAAGUUAGAAAGGGCGCACGGUGAAUGCCUUGGCACUAGGAGCCGAUGAAGGACGGGACUAACACCGAUAUGCUUCGGGGAGCUGUAAGUGAGCUUUGAUCCGGAGAUUUCCGAAUGGGGAAACCCACUGUUCGUAAUGGAACAGUAUCUUUAUCUGAAUACAUAGGAUAUUGAAGGCAGACCCGGGGAACUGAAACAUCUAAGUACCCGGAGGAAGAGAAAGCAAAUGCGAUUUCCUGAGUAGCGGCGAGCGAAACGGAAUUAGCCCAAACCAAGAGGCUUGCCUCUUGGGGUUGUAGGACACUCUAUACGGAGUUACAAAGGAACGAAGUAAAUGAAGCGACCUGGAAAGGUCCGUCGAAGAAGGUAACAACCCUGUAGUUGAAACUUCGUUCCCUCUUGAGUGGAUCCUGAGUACGGCGGAACACGUGAAAUUCCGUCGGAAGCUGGGAGGACCAUCUCCCAAGGCUAAAUACUACCUAGUGACCGAUAGUGAACCAGUACCGUGAGGGAAAGGUGAAAAGCACCCCGGAAGGGGAGUGAAAGAGAUCCUGAAACCGUGUGCCUACAAGUAGUCAGAGCCCGUUAACGGGUGAUGGCGUGCCUUUUGUAGAAUGAACCGGCGAGUUACGAUCCCAUGCAAGGUUAAGCUGAUAAGGCGGAGCCGUAGCGAAAGCGAGUCUGAAUAGGGCGUUUAGUAUGUGGUUGUAGACCCGAAACCAGGUGAUCUACCCAUGUCCAGGGUGAAGUUCAGGUAACACUGAAUGGAGGCCCGAACCCACGCACGUUGAAAAGUGCGGGGAUGAGGUGUGGGUAGCGGAGAAAUUCCAAUCGAACCUGGAGAUAGCUGGUUCUCUCCGAAAUAGCUUUAGGGCUAGCCUCAUGUUGUGAGAGUCUUGGAGGUAGAGCACUGAUUGGACUAGGGGCCCCCAACGGGUUACCGAAUUCAGUCAAACUCCGAAUGCCAAAGACUUAUCCAUGGGAGUCAGACUGCGAGUGAUAAGAUCCGUAGUCAAAAGGGAAACAGCCCAGACCACCAGCUAAGGUCCCCAAGUAUACGUUAAGUGGAAAAGGAUGUGGAGUUGCUUAGACAACCAGGAUGUUGGCUUAGAAGCAGCCACCAUUUAAAGAGUGCGUAAUAGCUCACUGGUCGAGUGACUCUGCGCCGAAAAUGUACCGGGGCUAAACGUAUCACCGAAGCUGUGGAUUGACAUCUUAGAUGUCAGUGGUAGGAGAGCGUUCUAAGUGCUGUGAAGUCAGACCGUAAGGACUGGUGGAGCGCUUAGAAGUGAGAAUGCCGGUAUGAGUAGCGAAAGACAAGUGAGAAUCUUGUCCACCGAAUGCCUAAGGUUUCCUGAGGAAGGCUCGUCCGCUCAGGGUUAGUCGGGACCUAAGCCGAGGCUGAAAAGCGUAGGCGAUGGCCAACAGGUUGAUAUUCCUGUACCACCUCCCCGCCGUUUGAGUAAUGGGGGGACGCAGUAGGAUAGGGUAAGCGCGCUGCUGGAUAUGCGCGUUCAAGCAGUUAGGCUGAUGAGUAGGCAAAUCCGCUCAUCAUAAAGGCUGAGCUGUGAUGACGAGGGAAUUAUAGUACCGAAGUUCCUGAUUCCACACUGCCAAGAAAAGCCUCUAGCGAGGCGGGAGGUGCCCGUACCGCAAACCGACACAGGUAGGCGAGGAGAGAAUCCUAAGGUGAUCGAGAGAACUCUCGUUAAGGAACUCGGCAAAAUGACCCCGUAACUUCGGGAGAAGGGGUGCUCUGGUAGGGUGUAUAGCCCGAGAGAGCCGCAGUGAAUAGGCCCAGGCGACUGUUUAGCAAAAACACAGGUCUCUGCGAAGCCGCAAGGCGAAGUAUAGGGGCUGACGCCUGCCCGGUGCUGGAAGGUUAAGAGGAGGGGUUAUCCUUUGGGAGAAGCUCUGAAUCGAAGCCCCAGUAAACGGCGGCCGUAACUAUAACGGUCCUAAGGUAGCGAAAUUCCUUGUCGGGUAAGUUCCGACCCGCACGAAAGGCGUAACGAUCUGGGCACUGUCUCAACGAGAGACUCGGUGAAAUUAUAGUACCUGUGAAGAUGCAGGUUACCCGCGACAGGACGGAAAGACCCCGUGGAGCUUUACUGUAGCCUGAUAUUGAAUUUUGGUACAGCUUGUACAGGAUAGGUAGGAGCCUGAGAAGCCGGAGCGCUAGCUUCGGUGGAGGCGUCGGUGGGAUACUACCCUGGCUGUAUUGAAAUUCUAACCCGCGGCCCUGAUCGGGCCGGGAGACAGUGUCAGGUGGGCAGUUUGACUGGGGCGGUCGCCUCCUAAAAUGUAACGGAGGCGCCCAAAGGUUCCCUCAGAAUGGUUGGAAAUCAUUCGUAGAGUGUAAAGGCACAAGGGAGCUUGACUGCGAGACCUACAAGUCGAGCAGGGACGAAAGUCGGGCUUAGUGAUCCGGUGGUUCCGCAUGGAAGGGCCAUCGCUCAACGGAUAAAAGCUACCCCGGGAUAACAGGCUUAUCUCCCCAAGAGUCCACAUCGACGGGGAGGUUUGGCACCUCGAUGUCGGCUCAUCGCAUCCUGGGGCUGUAGUCGGUCCCAAGGGUUGGGCUGUUCGCCCAUUAAAGCGGUACGCGAGCUGGGUUCAGAACGUCGUGAGACAGUUCGGUCCCUAUCCGUCGUGGGCGUAGGAAAUUUGAGAGGAGCUGUCCUUAGUACGAGAGGACCGGGAUGGACACACCGCUGGUGUACCAGUUGUCUUGCCAAAGGCAUCGCUGGGUAGCUAUGUGUGGACGGGAUAAGUGCUGAAAGCAUCUAAGCAUGAAGCCCCCCUCAAGAUGAGAUUUCCCAUAGCGCAAGCUAGUAAGAUCCCUGAAAGAUGAUCAGGUUGAUAGGUCAGAGGUGGAAGCGUGGCGACAUGUGUAGCUGACUGAUACUAAUCGAUCGAGGACUUAACCAAAA
rnacentral:rRNA from 2 species